GCAGGAGUGGUCUAGUGGUAAGACGCUGCCCUCCCAUCUACUCGAAAGGCAGAAAUCGUGAGUUCGAUCCUCGCCUCCUGCA